CCAGCUUCCCCAUUCAUUCAAGUUGUACUGCUACACAUUUAGGAACAUGACCAAAAUAUGGCCAAAACUCAUUCCAUGAUCAGGUCCCAUGUUUAAAGAAGAGAACCUAAACAUUAAAGUGACUAUUCCAGAAAUGCAAGAUUAGGAUUUCUCAGGGUUUGUUUUUUUUUCCCCUCCCCUACUGUGCUCAAAUCUAUGUCAUUUGCUCUGAAAACUUUUCAAUUCCAACAAAACAAACCUUUAAGUCAAAAUUACUUCUGGUCUUUGACAGUUAGCCAAAGAACCUACAAAAAAGGGCCAUUAAGAAGAAGACACUCUAUCCUGAAAAGAGACUUCCCUUCUACUGUCUACUGCCCAUUGUGAAUCUGAGUGGUUUGUUUCCCCAUCCACAUCCCACCAGCAGGCUGCUGCAGGGGGGCAAGCCAGGGCACACAGCACUGGAACUAGUAAUGUGUCCUCAGAGUGUCUAUCUGGAUGGUACCUGAGGUUAGAGUAAACUGUACUGGAUGCCCUGUUCAUUCUCUUCAAAAGGACAUGGGGCCGAUUUACAAGCAGCUCUUACUCCAGCUGAAACCUUAGAGGAUUUUCAAGGCUCUGUAUAACUUGAAUGAAAAAGGAAGAGACAAUUCCCCUCUCUUCUUUUCCAAUUCCAGGUUUGCUACUUACCAGCAUAUUAUACUUAUUUGGAUUGGUGGCUAUAUGGACAUUAACCAUCCAUGAAAAAAUGUUUACUUGAAAGAUUCGAUUUAUACUAUGCAGUUUGGGAAGCAGCCGUACCAAAACGGACUGAGGGAAAAGAAAAUCUAUUGACAUAUAUAUACAAUAUACAGCCAAAUUGCAUAAUGAUUGUGAAAUCAAAACCAAGGAGUGCCAAUUUACUACAGCCGUUUAAAAAUAAAUUAACAUGAAACACAGAUUCUAAUAUGCAUCAGAUGUAAAAAUCAAAAUAUAAUGGAUUUGAAUCUGCAUUUGCUUCAUCUGCUCACAAAUGAUACAUUAGCACAUAUACACACAAAUAAUUCUUAAUUUUAGCAAACUCAAAAGACUCCCCAUGAAAAAAGAUUAAACUGCAGCAAAGGAAAUGAACACGAAAACACCUGCUCUGUGGUAAGCAACAAACCUGAAAGUUUUUUUAAAUCAAUCAAAAUAAACACGCAUAUAUAUAUGCA
rnacentral:lncRNA from 1 species